rnacentral:lncRNA from 1 species
AUGAGAAACUUCAGUUGCUGAAAACAUUGGGAAUCUGCAACUCUUUAUCAUAGGACUUAAACUCAUGUUAGCUUUGAAUUACUUUUUCUGCACCAGUCUGCUGAAUCUGGACUGAAGAGAAAACGAGAUUGCACUGGCAGUGCUUGGCAUCCUAUACAUUUAGGCAAAAGGUAAGAAGAAACUCUUCUUCUAAAUAUUGGGUAGCUUAUAAUUCCAAUUUUUUUAAAUUCAAACUUUUCAAAUUUUUCU